rnacentral:rRNA from 1 species
UACGUAGGGUGCGAGCGUUGUCCGGAAUUACUGGGCGUAAAGAGCUCGUAGGCGGUCUGUCGCGUCGGAUGUGAAAAUCCAGGGCUUAACCCUGGGCCUGCAUUCGAUACGGGCAGACUAGAGUUCGGUAGGGGAGACUGGAAUUCCUGGUGUAGCGGUGAAAUGCGCAGAUAUCAGGAGGAACACCGGUGGCGAAGGCGGGUCUCUAGGCCGACACUGACGCUGAGGAGCGAAAGCGUGGGAGCGAACAGG